GUCCACGCCGUAAACGAUGGGCACUAGGUGCUUAGGGGAGCGACACUCUGGGUACCGGCGCUAACGCAUGAAGUGCCCCGCCUGGGGAGUACGGCCGCAAGGCUGAAACUCAAAGGAAUUGACGGGGGCCCGCACAAGCGGUGGAGCAUGUGGUUUAAUUCGACGCAACGCGCAGAACCUUACCUAGGCUUGACAUGCACGGGAAAGCUGCUGGAAACAGUGGCCCCUCUUCGGAGCCCGUGCACAGGUGCUGCAUGGCUGUCGU
rnacentral:rRNA from 1 species